GACGAACCGUGCGAACGUUAUUCGGAAUCACUGGGCUUAAAGCGCGUGUAGGCGGAUGGGCACGUCGGUCUUUGAAAGCCCCCGGCUCAACCGGGGAAGCGGAGCCGAAACGACCGAUCUGGAGGGGCGUAGGGGGACCUGGAACUUCCGGUGGAGCGGUGAAAUGCGUUGAGAUCGGAAGGAACGCCCGUGGCGAAAGCGAGGUCCUGGACGUCUGCUGACGCUGAGACGCGAAAGCUAGGGGA
rnacentral:rRNA from 1 species